rnacentral:rRNA from 1 species
UGGGGAAUUUUGCGCAAUGGGGGAAACCCUGACGCAGCAACGCCGCGUGAGUGAUGAAGGCCUUCGGGUCGUAAAGCUCUGUCAGAGGGGAAGAAAUGCAGGGGUGCUAAUAUCAUCUUUGCUUGACGGUACCCUCAUAGGAAGCACCGGCUAACUCCGUGCCAGCAGCCGCGGUAAUACGGAGGGUGCGAGCGUUGUUCGGAAUUAUUGGGCGUAAAGCGCGUGUAGGCGGUUUGAUAAGUCUGAUGUGAAAGCCCCGGGCUCAACCUGGGAAGUGCAUUGGAAACUGUCAGACUUGAAUACGGGAGAGGGUAGUGGAAUUCCUAGUGUUGGAGUGAAAUCCGUAGAUAUUAGGAGGAACACCGGUGGCGAAGGCGGCUACCUGGACCGAUAUUGACGCUGAGACGCGAAAGCGUGGGGAGCAAACAG